rnacentral:lncRNA from 1 species
UAAAAUCCUCCAUUUCCAUUUCCAGAUUCAUACAUUCUUCUGGGAAUGGCUUCCAAUACAUUAAUGAGCUGCGGCAUCCCCGCCGUAGGCCGCCCCUCGCUUCUCUCCUCUUCCAAAUCAAGAUUCGCGACUGCUGUGCCACUUUCCGGUGUUACCACCAACGCAUCUCGGAUUUCCAUGUCCGCCGAGUGGAUGCCCGGACAACCACGACCACCGUACCUUGACGGAUCUGCACCUGGGUACGUUUUCUUUCGUCUGACGAUUAAUUAGUUUCACAAGAAACGAUUUUUGAAGCUGAUUUACUGAUCUUGUGUGCGUUUCAGUGAUUUUGGGUUUGACCCACUUGGUCUUGGUGAGGUCCCAGAGAACCUUGAAAGAUUCAAAGAGUCGGAGCUCAUUCACUGCAGAUGGGCUAUGCUUGCAGUAGUAAGUCAUUCAUUAACGAAAAAAAAAAUAGCAAUGAUUAGUGUUAUAUGUUUGAUAUAUCAUAUCAUAUAUAUACAUAUACAAGUUACACUUAUUAUUUAUAACAUGUUACAAAUUUGCAGCCUGGGAUUUUGUUAC